AUGAUGAAUAUAGCUGGAGGGAGCAUGGCUACAGGGCAAUAUGCAAAAGACUCAAGUGACCCUCUUGCUAUAGAAGUGGUUAAUCUUGAAGAAGAGACAACCAAGAAACCCACUGCCCCACAUGAAGAGGUUGCACAAUCAACCAAUGCAGGUUCAUCUGGUCCCAAACCAAAAAAGGCCAAACCAAAUCCUUGUGCGGAAGACAGGUUGCAUGCCACCAUACUUGCUUCUAGUGAAAGAAUUGCUAUUGCCAUAGAGAAGAGUUCUAGCACCGAGAACAAUGCCAUAGAUGGUCUUUGGGAGAGCAUGAAAGUACUUUCUGGGUUCAGUUUGGAGUACCUUGCUCAUUACUAUGCAUAUUUGGUUGACAAUCCUCGUGUUGUUAUGGCAUUCAAGGUGUUGUAA
rnacentral:rRNA from 1 species